CAUGAGAGAGGGGCACGUUACUCGGCCACAUUGUAACUACAACAUGUUUAUUGUCCUCCAUCAGCCGAGAAUAAAGUGCAGCAACUGCGGCAACCCGGCGCGGAGUCAAACACCACCGGUUCCACUUGGUGCCGUGACGACCCGUUGCAUCGCCGACCAGCGCUCGUCUGGUCCCCGGGGUACGCUGCUCUGCUGGCCGCUACCGCUGCUGCUCGCCCCCUCCCUCCUCUGCUCCGGAAGACGACGACGGCGCGCGCUCCCGCGUGCACGCGAGGUGUGGUGACGCGCACGCUGUUUUGCCGUGUGUGCUACUUCGUUUUCUAGCAAGAUGAUGCAGACAACAGACUAUUGUGAUGUCCAGCCCACCAAUCAAAAAGCUCAUGGAGCUCUGGCCUGCUCUUCGUAUGCUGUCCGAGGUGUAUGCAGAAUUUCAACGCAUUACUAACCAGAACCUUCCCAAUACUUUCUAUGCCGAACUUGAUCGUCACACUCCACGUUUAAUGGCGUUAUUUCGGCAGAAAGCUUCCAGAACGGGCAAAACUGCAGACGCGUUGGCCGACAUUUUCAAAGUCCAUGAUACACAGGAGUCACAUGAUGUCCACACAAGGCGGGUCACUAUUCUCCAUGCCCUUCCUGUUUAUCUGCAUGAGGAAGUGUCUGGAUUUUUCAGAACAUGUGUGGAUGAUAUGGAUGAGCCAGACGUGGGGGAUGCGUCAGUGGUCCUCCUUGCAACCGUGAGUGACGAUGCCACAAGCCCAGUUCACUACCACCCAGCCAAAAUCUCUGUCAUCCUAGAGGGUUAGGACUGGGGAGGAAUGGUGCUCUUCCCUAAAAAUAGGAUGGUGUCCAUGGUUGCCCUAUCACAUCUAGGAAGGGUGGUAUUUCCCUUGGAACUGGUCGGUAGGAUAUAUAAGGAUAUCAUCGUGGGCUUAAGGAUUCCUUGGCAUAAAGAAAAGUGCAGAUUCUGUGAGGAGAUGCUUGAUACAGCUAGGGGAGCUAUGCAUCACCUCCGGAAGAAGCACAGAUCGAGAAGACUCCAAAUCUUCUGUAGAAGAUGCGCGGGGUGCUUCAAAACCGUACACACGGCUGCCUGUCAUGCCCCCAUAUGGGGGAGCCGCAGACAAAUAAUCCCGAUGCCUUGAAAUCAUGCUUGCGCUCACUGUUCCUGAAGUUUCUGAACUGCUGGAGGGCUGUCCCUGCAUUGUAGGAGCAAACAUCCCACCAUGUACUUCGCUGGUUCUAACGGACAGGAGCCGAGCAAGGGGACCAGAGUGAGAUGGAACGAGAAAGACACCAAAAAGCUGUGGGAAAUCAUAUGGUCCAAGCCAGCCAAUCUGGUCGAGUCGGUCAAACAGGUGAAGCCCAGGUUCACAAUAGCCCAAAUUGUGAACAAAAUAAAAUUUGAGCGUAAAAAGAGUCCUUGCCCCGACAUUACUGGAGAUGAAAGGCAUAGAGAGUGGCUUAAAGAGGAGCUCGAUAUAAACCCAGCUGGGGAUACCGUAAAGUUCAUAGAGGACUCCUCUAUGAGAAUAUGGAGAAAACUUGCUCCAGGUUACACGGAGACCUGGACGAGUUAACAAUUAAAAAGGUCGGGGCAGAGCUCAAAUUGCCAUUUGGCGGAUGGGUGGACACCAAUGGAAACUUCGACUGACCUUUAGCACCCAAGCUCUGAAUCGGGCUAGAAAACUGGCUAGAUUUUUAACAUGCUGCUUCUGGGUAGUGUGCCCAGGUGUAUGAAGCGCAGCCGUACCACCCUUAUUCCCAAAACAAGUGAUCCCGGAGGACUGGCAACCUAUCACUAUUGGGUCGGUGCUCCUCAGACUUUUCUCAGCAGCUUUGCAUAGCAGGGUCCGAGAGGUCUGUGCGCUCAAUCCCAGGCAAAGAGGAUUCAUCCAAGUCCGGAGCAGUUCUGAAAACAUGUUACUUCUGAGUGGCAUUAUAUGACAUUCUGCUGCUAAAAGAAAGGUUCUCGCGGUUGUGUUCAUUGACCUUGCAAAGGCCUUUGACACGGUGGCCCACAAACUCAUCAUUGAAGCCCUCCAUCGUCGGGGGGUAGAUGUUUUCCUGCUGGAGCUCAUUCAAAAUCUGAUAAAGGGUGCACGUCUACAGUGGAGACCAAUGUUGGCUGGACCAAUCGGAUAAGAAUUGAGAGUGGUGUCAAGCAGGGUGACCCACUCUCCCCCUUGCUCUUCAAUAUUGCGCUAGAUCCACUGCUGGUGUUGGAAACGCAGGGGAAGGGAAUGAGAGUGGGGUCUGCGUCCAUGACCUCCUUGGCAUUUGCUGACGACCUAGUGUUGCUCAGUGGAUCCUGGGCUGGCAUGGAACGGAACCUCAUCAUUCUGGAAACUUUCCUGGAAUUGACGGGACUUAGGGUCAAUGUUGAUAAGUGCUGUGGAUUCUUGCUGAGGCCCAGGCAUGAUAGGAAACUGUGUGGCACCGACCCAUGGUGGAUAAGGGGCGAGACUAUCCGCAUGUUGGGCACCCAAGAUCAGGUAAAAUACCUUGGGAUUACUAUCAGCCCCCUUAUGGGGGCAUGCCCCACUGACAUCAGGGCUUCAUUGGACAACAUGGCCCAGAGCAUUGCUAGCGCUGAUCUGAAACCCACACAACGACUGCAUGAGAGAAAUGUUCUAUAUAUCAUACUAAAUUGUGUUUGUGUGUGUGUGGAGGUGGAGGGAGGGGGUGUGUCUCACUGCAGAGGGGCAGUCAUCACAUCGAUGCUAAACUUAAACGACAACAGAAAUGUUUUGCACAUGGUUAAAUAUUUAUUCAUUUUAAAGUUGAUAAUGCCGUUUAAAUGUGUGUUUAAGAAAGCUGAAUCCUACUGUG